GUAAUCAGGCAUGCGGCGUGCAGAAAGACAGACCUUAUGGGUAGUAAACUGCUUAUACAGGGAAUAAUAUAGUACGGUGUAAAUGAUUGAAAGGUACUGUUAUGAAUAAGGAACCGGCUAACUUCCGUGCCAGCAAGCCGCGGUAAUACGGAGGUCCGAGCGUAUCCGGAUUCAUUGGGUUUAAAGGGUGCGUAGGCGGCCUCGUAAGUCAGUAGUGAAAAUCCAUAGGCUUAACCUAUGACGUGCUAUUGAAACUGCGGAGCUAGAAUUCUGAUGGAGUGGGCGGAAUGUGUUGUGUAGCGGUGAAAUGCUUAGAUAUAACACAGAACACCGAUCGCGAAGGCAGCUCACUAAGGAGCAAUUGACGCUAAUGCACGAAAGCGUGGGGAGCGAACAGGAUUAGAUACCCUGGUAGUCCACGCCGUAAACGAUGAUAACUGGUUGUCGGCGAUACACAGUCGGCGGCUGAGCGAAAGUAUUAAGUUAUCCACCUGGGGAGUACGAUCGCAAGGUUGAAACUCAAAGGAAUUGACGGGGGCCCGCACAAGCGGUGGAGCAUGUGGUUUAAUUCGAUGAUACGCGAGGAACCUUACCUGGGCUCAAACGUAUAGUGCUUUUACGGGAAACCGUAUUUUCUUCGGACGCUAUACGAGGUGCUGCAUGGUUGUCGUCAGCUCGUGCCGUGAGGUGUCGGGUUAAGUCCCAUAACGAGCGCAACCCCUAUUCUUAGUUGCCAUCAGGUAAAGCUGGGGACUCUAAGGAAACUGCCGGCGCAAGCCGCGAGGAAGGUGGGGAUGACGUCAAAUCAGCACGGCCCUUAUGUCCAGGGCUACACACGUGCUACAAUGGUAGGUACAGAGGGCAGCUACAUGGUGACAUGGUGCGAAUCUCAAAAACUUAUCUCAGUUCGGAUCGAAGUCUGCAACUCGACUUCGUGAAGUUGGAAUCGCUAGUAAUCGCGUAUCAGCCAUGACGCGGUGAAUACGUUCCCGGGCCUUGUACACACCGCCCGUCAAGCCAUGGAAGCUGGGGGUGCCUAAAGUUCGUGACCGAGAGGAGCGGCCUAGGGUAAAACUAGUAACUGGGGCUAAGUCGUAACAAGG
rnacentral:rRNA from 1 species